UUUGAUCAUGGCUUCAGAACGAACGCUGGCGGCAUGCCUCAUACAUGCAAGUCGAACGAGGUCUUCGGACCUAGUGGCGCACGGGUGAGUAACAUGUGGGAAUCUACCUGAAGGUUCGGAAUAACUGCGGGAAACUGUAGCUAAUACCGGAUGUGUCUGCAAAGAGAAAGAUUUAUCGCCUUCAGAUGAGCCCGCACUGGAUUAGCUAGUUGGUGAGGUAAUCGCUCCACCAAGGCUACGAUCUAUAGCUGAUUUGAGAGGAUGAUCAGCCACACUGGGACUGAGACACGGCCCAGACUCCUACGGGAGGCAGCAGUAGGGAAUAUUGGACAAUGGGGGAAACCCUGAUCCAGCAAUGCCGCGUGAGUGAAGAAGGCCUUCGGGUUGUAAAGCUCUUUCAUCAAUGAUGAUAAUGACAUUAGUUG
rnacentral:rRNA from 1 species